rnacentral:rRNA from 1 species
GACGUAGGGUGCGAGCGUUGUCCGGAAUUACUGGGCGUAAAGAGCUCGUAGGCGGUUCAGUAAGUCGGGUGUGAAAACUUUGAGCUUAACCCAAAGCGUGCAUCCGAUACUGCUGUGACUUGAGUUCGGUAGGGGAGUGGGGAAUUCCUAGUGUAGCGGUGAAAUGCGCAGAUAUUAGGAGGAACACCGGUGGCGAAGGCGCCACUCUGGGCCGAAACUGACGCUGAGGAGCGAAAGCAUGGGUAGCAAACAGG